rnacentral:rRNA from 1 species
AUAAGCCAUGCAUGUCUAAGUAUAAGCACUCAUACUGUGAAACUGCGAAUGGCUCAUUAAAUCAGUUAUCGUUUAUUUGAUAGUACCUUUACCUGGAUAACCGUGGUAAUUCUAGAGCUAAUACAUGCUAAAAAUCCCGACUUCGGAAGGGAUGUAUUUAUUAGAUAAAAAACCAAUGCCCUUCGGGGCUCCUUGGUGAUUCAUAAUAACUCAACGAAUCGCAUGGCCUUGCGCUGGCGAUGGUUCAUUCAAAUUUCUGCCCUAUCAACUUUCGAUGGUAGGAUAGUGGCCUACCAUGGUCUCAACGGGUAACGGGGAAUUAGGGUUCUAUUCCGGAGAGGGAGCCUGAGAAACGGCUACCACAUCCAAGGAAGGCAGCAGGCGCGCAAAUUACCCAAUCCCAAUUCGGGGAGGUAGUGACAAUAAAUACUGAUACAGGGCUCUUUUGGGUCUUGUAAUUGGAAUGAGUACAAUCUAAAUCCCUUAACGAGGAACAAUUGGAGGGCAAGUCUGGUGGACUUUCAGUCCAAGUCCUUCCGCCUGUAGUGGGCGGUGGGCACUUUGCUGACGCCAGAGAUAGUAGGUUUUGCAAGCCUGCUAGUGGAUUCAUCACUGGUAUCUAGGGGCUACCACUUGCUUCGGCAAGGAUGACCGCGACACAACAUGGUUCGGGGAAGGAGUCAAUGCCGAUAUGUUCGGUGGCUUUAAUUAGCUUCACCUUACCGGUACCUGCAAGGGAAAAGUAUUAUGUAUCACUUUUCACUCCAAUCCCGAUGCCGGCCUUAUGGGGUAACUUAUAAGUGUCCGGCGGUAGAGCACGCUAAUGUGUGGGGGCUUCCCGCUGACGUCCGAGUCAGAAAUGGGGGCUCUUAAGGGACGUGCCAAUCCGGGGGCGAAAGCCCUCCUCAUAGUAAUAGGCCCCCCUGGCUGAAGACUAUGGGGCGCGGAGUACAACAGGCUUUAACUGGCCGACCGAUUAUUCUGCGUGAAGGUGAGGGACCUUGAAAAUGCCCAGUAUUUUCUGGCAGGGUGCCUCACUACCUUGGCCAGCAGCCGCGGUAAUUCCAGCUCCAAUAGCGUAUAUUAAAGUUGUUGCCGUUAAAAAGCUCGUAGUUGAACCUUGGGUCUGGCUGAUCUGUCCUCCUAAUCGAGCGCACGGAUUCGGUCGGACCUUUCCUUCUGGGGAACUGCAUGCCCUUCGCUGGGCGUGUCGGGGAACCAGGACUUUUACCUUGAAAAAAUUAGAGUGUUCAAAGCAGGCCUUUGCUCGAAUACAUUAGCAUGGAAUAAUAGAAUAGGACAGAGGUUCUAUUUUGUUGGUUUCUAGGACCGCUGUAAUGAUUAAUAGGGAUAGUCGGGGGCGUCCGUAUUCAAUUGUCAGAGGUGAAAUUCUUGGAUUUAUUGAAGACGAACUACUGCGAAAGCAUUCGCCAAGGAUGUUUUCAUUAAUCAGUGAACGAAAGUUAGGGGAUCGAAGACGAUCAGAUACCGUCGUAGUCUUAACCAUAAACUAUGCCGACUAGGGAUCGGACGGUGNNNNNNNNNNNNNNNNNNNNNNNNNNNNNNNNNNNNNNNNNNNNNNNNNNCGUUGCAACGCGCGGAAAGGUGUCGGUCUGCCUAGCUGGCAGGCUUAAGGGUACGUGCUAAACUCACACGCAAGUGUGCUUUGUACUGGAGGUCCGACAGGCCAAAGGUGCAAGGGGUGUGCUGUACAUAAUGUAUGUACAACAUAUCAGAAUGUGGGGUCAAAUAUGUCAAAUGUGCCAAAUGUUGUUGUGGUGGUUGAUGCACCUCCGUGGCUUAUACCACACACACGACGUCACACAUUGAUAUUUUGGCAAACGUGGCAAAUUUCAUUCUAGUACUUGAAUGAAAUUGUCAUAGUGCAACCUACAUAAAGAAGUUGCUGUGAUGCCCUUAGAUGUUCUGGGCCGCACGCGCGCUACACUGACAGAGCCAGCGAGUACAUCACCUUGGCCGAAAGGUCUGGGUAAUCUUGUUAAACUCUGUCGUGCUGGGGAUAGAGCAUUGCAAUUAUUGCUCUUCAACGAGGAAUGCCUAGUAAGCGCAAGUCAUCAGCUUGCGUUGAUUACGUCCCUGNNNNNNNNNNNNNNNNNNNNNNNNNNNNNNNNNNNNNNNNNNNNNNNNNNUGCGUCUCGGAUAGUUAAUGCAUCCUUCUGCAGUGACACUUAUUGGAAGCCUUAGAUAACCGCCAGAAAUGGUACGGUUCCCGCGACUCUAAAGAAGUAGGAUCCUAAGGGUUAGUGGUACUGCCUCGACUUAAUUUAUUUAAGCACGCGGUGCUGCGACACUAUCAAAUUGCGGGAAGUCCCUUAGAGCCGGCAGUACCGCUCCCUCGUCGAAAUGAUGGGGGCAGCACCGGGUUAAUGACCUCGGGUAUGGUAACAAUCUCGCCGGAUUGGGUUACCUGCAGCCAAGUCCUCCGCGGAGGGGUGGUCGUUCACGGGCGGCCGUCUUUCGUGGUAGGAUGCAGUUCACAGGCCAAAUGGUAGUGGGUGGUCCCCUUUUGGUAAGGGCGAUUGCUUAAGAUAUGGUCGGGCCCCCAGGGAAAUCCUGGGGGGUGAGUUCACAAAAGAAUAAAGUAACAAGAACAACAAAACGUUCCGUAGGUGAACCUGCGGAAGGAUCAUUA